GUCAGGAUGGCCGAGCGGUCUAAGGCCCCAGACUCAAGUUUCCAAACUUGCUCCGCUAAUGGGCAGCCAAAGGGCGUUCUGGUCCACUAAUGUGCGCGUUGGUUCGAAUCCCACUCCUGACG